UUAGCUUGCUUAAAUGUUAAAUGUUCUCUGAGAUCUGCCUAUGUUACGGUGGAUCAAUGAUGAAAAUAGCCAAAUCUGAGCAUCAGAAGACCUUGUAGUCUGACCUGAUGCAUGAUCUCCAUAAUUCUGAGAAGCAAAACUACAAAAUACCUGGAGGGAUGGGGUAUGUGUGUGUGUGUGUGUGUGAGAGUGUGUGUACAUGUGAGAAGGCGAGACUAUUCUGAGCAAUGAUGAAAUGGUUUUACAACUGACCUUUAUAACUAUGAAGUUUUCUACACUUGACCUGAGCUCA